ACUCCUACGGGAGGCAGCAGUGGGGAAUAUUGCACAAUGGGGGAAACCCUGAUGCAGCCAUGCCGCGUGUGUGAAGAAGGCCUUCGGGUUGUAAAGCAUCUUUGCAGUAGGGAGGAAGGUAGUGUAGUUAACACCUGUCAUUAUUGACGUUACCUACAGAAGAAGCACCGGCUAACUCCGUGCCAGCAGCCGCGGUAAUACGGAGGGUGCGAGCGUUAAUCGGAAUUACUGGGCGUAAAGCGCAUGCAGGCGGCCUGUUAAGUCAGAUGUGAAAGCCCGGGGCUUAACCUCGGAAUUGCAUUUGAAACUGGCAGGCUAGAGUCUUGUAGAGGGGGGUGAGAAUUUCAGGUGUAGCGGUGAAAUGCGUAGAGAUCUGAAGG
rnacentral:rRNA from 1 species